GCGAUAUUAGCCAAGAGGAAAGGCCGCAGGUUUCCAACCUGUUAUUCAUCAGUUCGAACCUGAUAUAUCGCU
rnacentral:tRNA from 1 species